CCUGAUCUCCGGAAAGUCCUUGACGUCCUAUGCGACCAAUACGUCCCUGACAAAAAAAUAAAUGAUGUUAAAUUAGUCGUUACUUACAGUAUAUAUCAGAGAGAAAGGUUCCUUAAGCCCUGGGCAAACUAGGAAACAUUGUUGCGGAAACAUUGUUUCCUACCAAUGUUUCGCCAUGUUUCCCAGAGUGGGCAAACACUAGGAAACAUUAGUGAGAAACAUAGGGAAACAUCAAACGUUUCUGAAUUUGCUAGGAAAUAUUUUUGCUUCUCGGGAAGCAAAUUUUGUUUCCGCAACAAUGUUUC